UCCAAGGCCUAGGGAUUGGCCAGUGAGUCUUUGUGCCUUACCAACAAUGUAAGGGACACAAAGACUCUGGAUCAUGGCCCUCAUGUGAUGCAAGAUAGAACCCACUCCUCUUGCUCAUCAUCAACACUUCUUGUACUCUUCUUUAGACAGAUCUUGGUCUCUCCCCCUUUCUCACAACCUUCUUGUUGUGUAUCAAGUGCUCGGACUAACAGAUCUUCCUUGAUAGAUACAAGCUGAGUCUUGGCUGCUUCUUCUUCAUGAGUCACCACCAUGUUACUGAAACCUUCAUGACCGGAUGCUUCAGACUGUAGUACCAAUCACCUCACUCUAGAGGCCGCAUUGGUGAUUGCUUCUUCAUCCUUCAUAACUGAUCUGCUCCUCUUCUUGAAUAACCACCAAGUACUCUCAGAUCAUGUAAGCUUCAACACUCCCCCUCAAGCUUGAGACUCUCACAGGAACAAGCUUGGAUGGAUAGCUUCAUGAUCUGUACCAUUACUCCAUUGCA
rnacentral:lncRNA from 1 species